AUAUACUAUUUAAGUAUGCAGCAUUUCCUGUAAAUCUUACUUCCUACCUCUACAUGCAGUUCUUUGCCUGAGGGACCGGGGCCAUUGGGGUGAUAUUUGAGUUGUUGCAAUGGACACGUUUUUAUCUCUGCUCCUGCUUGUACUCACAGGAACGUGUUAUUCAAAGAAUUCAAGGGUGAUAAACUGCCCCUACAACUCUGCAUAUGAAGCCCUGCCAAGAGUCUGGUGUAAGCAGGACUCAGAGCUGUGCUGCACCGGCAUUGCCUUUUGGUCAGAGGUGGAGUUUGUGGAGGACAAUAGUGUGUCGGUCCAGCAGGACAAAAACAGCUUCACAGUGACCGUUGAGAGCCUGCCGCAUGGAGAGGGAGUGUACUGGUGUGGUCUGCUGCUUGGGAACCAGACCCUCAUGAAACUUAACGAAAUGUACUUGGCCCAUGCCGUUCUGCUGAACAUCUGGGACAUCCUGCGCUGGGGUGUGUUCCUCCUGCUCCUGCUGGCUCCGAUUGCUACAUGCUUUUACACAAGCACUCUGGAAGGGACUUGGGUCUCCACGAGCCUUGUGACGAUCCUGGACGGGCACGAUGGGCGGAGCCAUCCCGGCCCCAACCGCCCACCA
ensembl:lncRNA